rnacentral:ncRNA from 1 species
CUCCUGGGUAGAAGCAGUCAGUGUCCGCCACCUUAUAUUAAGAAGGUGAAGCAGUAAGCGGAUUCGGGUCAUUGCUCACGGA